rnacentral:rRNA from 1 species
UAUAAUGCAGUCGAGCGCGGGAAGUCAGGGAAGCCUUCGGGUGGAACUGGUGGAACGAGCGGCGGAUGGGUGAGUAACACGUAGGUAACCUGCCCUAAAGCGGGGGAUACCAUCUGGAAACAGGUGCUAAUACCGCAUAACCCCAGCAGUCACAUGAGUGCUGGUUGAAAGACGGCUUCGGCUGUCACUUUAGGAUGGACCUGCGGCGUAUUAGCUAGUUGGUGGAGUAACGGUUCACCAAGGCGAUGAUACGUAGCCGACCUGAGAGGGUAAUCGGCCACAUUGGGACUGAGACACGGCCCAAACUCCUACGGGAGGCAGCAGUAGGGAAUCUUCCACAAUGGACGCAAGUCUGAUGGAGCAACGCCGCGUGGAUGAAGAAGGUCUUCGGAUCGUAAAAUCCUGUUGUUGAAGAAGAACGGUUGUGAGAGUAACUGCUCAUAACGUGACGGUAAUCAACCAGAAAGUCACGGCUAACUACGUGCCAGCAGCCGCGGUAAUACGUAGGUGGCAAGCGUUGUCCGGAUUUAUUGGGCGUAAAGGGAGCGCAGGCGGUCUUUUAAGUCUGAAUGUGAAAGCCCUCAGCUUAACUGAGGAAGAGCAUCGGAAACUGAAAGACUUGAGUGCAGAAGAGGAGAGUGGAACUCCAUGUGUAGCGGUGAAAUGCGUAGAUAUAUGGAAGAACACCAGUGGCGAAGGCGGCUCUCUGGUCUGUUACUGACGCUGAGGCUCGAAAGCAUGGGUAGCGAACAGGAUUAGAUACCCUGGUAGUCCAUGCCGUAAACGAUGAGUGCUAAGUGUUGGGAGGUUUCCGCCUCUCAGUGCUGCAGCUAACGCAUUAAGCACUCCGCCUGGGGAGUACGACCGCAAGGUUGAAACUCAAAGGAAUUGACGGGGGCCCGCACAAGCGGUGGAGCAUGUGGUUUAAUUCGAAGCAACGCGAGAACCU